GUCAUUCUAGCCUGCAGCAUUUUACGUUGUGUUCACUAGGGAUCCCUAAAAGGUUAAUGUUUUAGGGUGAUUAAAGGUCGACUGGUAUGGUAUGGUAUGGUAAAGUGGUAUUUUUUGAAAAUUGACACCAAUAAAACAUCUGCAUAUUUGUAGAAGCAAGAGUGAUUCAGUAAGUGCUUGCGAGGAAUAAGAGGUGUGGCGUGUAUGUUGAGGAGCUUAUUAAGCCAAUUUUUUUUUUUCAUAUCUUUAACGACGAGAAUCAUUCAAAGAGCCAGAACAAAAAACAGAUGACAUUAUUCAGGCCUGUUUACGACUGACAUGACGCUAUACGAGAAACAAUAUUGUCGGAGCGAGGAUGAUAAAAGUGUUGAAAGUGCGAAAAUCGUGAAUAAUCUAUAUUUAUCGCAUGUGUCGGGAUUGCAAAUGGUACCAUUGUACUGCAAUUAGACUAGGUAGUCCUGGGCAGUCGCUGAGACAGCAUUGGAGUUAGUGUUUACAAUAGUUGAUUAUACAUGUUUCAUGUUUGAAUAGCGAGGUUGGGAAAAAGAGAAAAACAUCAUAAUAGUCAAUGA